rnacentral:lncRNA from 1 species
GAGAUAAACACCAUCAGUGCUUUGAUCUUUAAUUAGGCACUUAAUUAGCCUCGGUGGCUACGUACUGCAUCGUGAGCAAGGCGACAGGACGUGGGAUGCUGCUGCUUUUGUGGGUGCAAUAAGGGACAAAGUCCAUGCAGGUAGCUGAGCCUCGACCUCCAACCAUCAGCCCCAACCUUGCACGGCCGGUGCUGGGAAGGGCUGCGGCACCCAGUGCAGGGAAACGUCCCCAAAUAUCCCCGUUCUAAGAGGAGCCUGCGGGCAUCACAAAGCCCCGUUAGUGGGACACCCCGUUCUCUCGUUGCCCACGAGGCGCAGGGCUGCGCUUUGCCCAGCUGAGGGUGCUCUAAGCCCACAAUCCCCACCUGCCUUUUGCCUUGGUGCCCCCCCAGCCCCCCUCCCAACCAGGACAGUUCCCUCCUCCCGCCCCCCAGCACCCCCACUUAUCACUGCGGGCUGCCCCACACCUUUUGCUAGCAGGCAUUAGGGACAAAAAGCACUUUGAGGAGUGUUCGAGUUUUCCUGCUGCUGCCACCCCCUCAGCUGGGGGAUUUGGGGGGAUAUUUUGUGCUUUUAGGUUGUACCCAUCCGAGCACUGUGGGGGAUGCAGCACUGCUGCUGGAGGAGGAACGUGAGUGUUUUUGUUAAGGAAAAAAAAAAAAAAAAAGAAGAGAGAAACUGGAGGAUCAACACAACAAAGUUGACUAAACCAAAUAUUUCCAUCCCUGUAGGAGGGAGCAGGGCUGACUGGAAUGCUAAACUCACCUCUAUUUGCAUCUUUUUAAAUAGGAGCCGAUAAAAGCAAAUACUCCACCACCAAUAAUUAUAAUAUUUUAAUUGCAUUUCUUCAGGGCUUUUGUUUUUCUUUUUUUCUUUUUUUUUUUUUUCCUCUGCGUGUGUGUGAGAGAGACAAAGGCAGUGCUGCAAACUGGAGAAAAUACCAUUCCUGGUGUUGCAAGCUGAGAUCGGAGCUGCACUGAGCAUCCUUAUGGGCAGGGCCAGUGCUGGUUGGGUGCAGUGCUUGGAGAAAAAGGUGCACGAUGCUCUGCUUCUUCCCUAUGCCUUUUUUUUCCUUAAUGCAUCCUCCACUCACCAGCAAAUGGUGCUGGGAGUGCCCUGCAGGUGGGCAGCAUGGGUGCAGCUGGGCAGGGUGAUUGGCAGUGCUGGGUCCCAGCAGCUCCUUGGCUGCACAGGGGAGCUUGGAGGCAUGGAGGAGGACUGGGCGUGACUGCCUGCGCCUGGCUGAGAUUGACAUGGGCAAACCUUGGCCGCCAGCUUCGAGAGCCGCUCGGGGGCUGUAAGUACAUGGCACUAUCACUUCUUCCCAUGCACCAAAAAUUGCCUGUG